rfam:Triticum aestivum genome assembly, contig: Triticum_aestivum_CS42_TGACv1_scaffold_375063_5AL
CUACUACUCCCUCCGUUCAAAAAUACUUGCCGGGGGAAUGGAUGUAUCUAGACGCAUUUUAGUUCUCGAUAUCCAUUUUUGUGUAUUUCUUCAACAAGUAUAUUGGAACGGAGGGAGUAUAAU